GUGAAUCAUCGAAUCCUUGAACGCAAAUUGCACUCUCUUCGGAGAGUAUGUCGGGUUGAUGGUCAGCCUAAAAAAAAUCGACAUAGUCGCUGUUUCGCGGUGACAUUCGUCGGAAAUUGGGUCAUCUUAAACCUUUGGUUUUUAAGCGGCUUAAAAUUUUCUUUACGAUACUACGAACGUUUCUAAGAUUUACUUACACGUUUAAGGUAGCGAUUUUUAUUAGACGUGGCUGUUGCAUCUAAUCAGUUCCAGAAAUAUUUCGUUAAAUGACUUC
rnacentral:misc_RNA from 1 species